rnacentral:rRNA from 1 species
CAAGGUCUCCGUAGGUGAACCUGCGGAGGGAUCAUUACACAAAUAUGAAGGCGGGCUGGAACCUCUCGGGGUUACAGCCUUGCUGAAUUAUUCACCCUUGUCUUUUGCGUACUUCUUGUUUCCUUGGUGGGUUCGCCCACCACUAGGACAAACAUAAACCUUUUGUAAUUGCAAUCAGCGUCAGUAACAAAUUAAUAAUUACAACUUUCAACAACGGAUCUCUUGGUUCUGGCAUCGAUGAAGAACGCAGCGAAAUGCGAUAAGUAGUGUGAAUUGCAGAAUUCAGUGAAUCAUCGAAUCUUUGAACGCACAUUGCGCCCUUUGGUAUUCCAAAGGGCAUGCCUGUUCGAGCGUCAUUUGUACCCUCAAGCUUUGCUUGGUGUUGGGCGUCUUGUCUCUAGCUUUGCUGGAGACUCGCCUUAAAGUAAUUGGCAGCCGGCCUACUGGUUUCGGAGCGCAGCACAAGUCGCACUCUCUAUCAGCAAAGGUCUAGCAUCCAUUAAGCCUUUUUUUCAACUUUUGACCUCGGAUCAGGUAGGGAUACCCGCUGAACUUAAGCAUAUCAAUA